AUUGAACGCUGGCGGCAUGCUUUACACAUGCAAGUCGAACGGUAACAGGCCGCAAGGUGCUGACGAGUGGCGAACGGGUGAGUAAUGCAUCGGAACGUGCCCAGUCGUGGGGGAUAACGCAGCGAAAGCUGUGCUAAUACCGCAUACGAUCUAUGGAUGAAAGCGGGGGACCGUAAGGCCUCGCGCGAUUGGAGCGGCCGAUGUCAGAUUAGGUAGUUGGUGGGGUAAAGGCCUACCAAGCCGACGAGCUGUAGCUGGUUUGAGAGGACGACCAGCCACACUGGGACUGAGACACGGCCCAGACUCCUACGGGAGGCAGCAGUGGGGAAUUUUGGACAAUGGGCGCAAGCCUGAUCCAGCAAUGCCGCGUGCAGGAAGAAGGCCUUCGGGUUGUAAACUGCUUUUGUACGGAACGAAACGGUCUGGGUUAAUACCCUGGGCUAAUGACGGUACCGUAAGAAUAAGCACCGGCUAACUACGUGCCAGCCGCCGCAGUAAUAC
rnacentral:rRNA from 1 species